GUAGGGAAUAUUGCGCAAUGGGGGAAACCCUGACGCAGCGACGCCGCGUGAGUGAUGAAGGCCUUCGGGUCGUAAAGCUCUGUUGCAGGGGAAUAAAAAAAUGAAGGUACCCUGUGAGGAAGGAUCGGCUAACUUCGUGCCAGCAGCCGCGGUAAGACGAGGGAUCCUAGCGUUGCUCGGAAUCAUUGGGCGUAAAGAGGGCGUAGGUGGCUUGGUCAGUCAGGUGUGAAAGCCCAGGGCUCAACCCUGUAAGUGCAGUUGAUACUGCUGAGCUUGAGUGUCGGAGAGGUUACCGGAAUACCUGGUGUAGUGGUGAAAUACGUAGAGAUCAGGUGGAACACCGGAGGCGAAGGCGGGUAACUGGACGAACACUGACACUGAGGCCCGAAAGCGUGGGGAUCAAACAGGAUUAGAUACCCGAGUAGUCC
rnacentral:rRNA from 1 species